rnacentral:rRNA from 1 species
AACGCUCGUAGUUGAAUUUCAAGGAAUCAAUAUUUUAAGUAAUGCUUUGUAUAUUUAUAACAAAGUUGUACGUUAAGAAUAAACGCCAAGCGUUAUAUUUUUUCUGUUACAUUUUGUUUUAUUAAUAUAUAUAUGCGUUCUUAUUAUAAAAAUGAUUCUUUUUAAAAUUCUUUUGUAUAAUUUUUUAUGCAUGGGAAUUUUGUUACUUUGAGUAAAUUAGAGUGUUCAAAGCAAACAGUUAAAACAGUUUCUGUGUUUGAAUACUACAGCAUGGAAUAACAAAAUUGAACAAGUCAGAAUUUUGUUCUUUUUUCUUAUUUUGGCUUAGUUACGAUUAAUAGGAGUAGCUUGGGGGCAUUUGUAUUCAGAUGUCAGAGGUGAAAUUCUUAGAUUUUCUGGAGACAAUCAACUGCGAAAGCAUUUGCCUAAAAUACUUCCAUUAAUCAAGAACGAAAGUUAAGGGAGUGAAGACGAUCAGAUACCGUCGUAAUCUUAACCAUAAACUAUGCCGACUAGGUGUUGGAUGAUAGAGUAAAAAAUAAAAGGGACAUUCAUAUAUAUGAGUGUUUCUUUUAGAUAGCUUCCUUCAGUACCUUAUGAGAAAUCAAAGUCUUUGGGUUCUGGGGCGAGUAUUCGCGCAAGCGAGAAAGUUAAAAGAAUUGACGGAAGGGCACCACCAGGCGUGGAGCUUGCGGCUUAAUUUGACUCAACACGGGGAAACUCACUAGUUUAAGACAAGAGUAGGAUUGACAGAUUAAUAGCUCUUUCUUGAUUUCUUGGAUGGUGAUGCAUGGCCGUUUUUAGUUCGUGAAUAUGAUUUGUCUGGUUAAUUCCGAUAACGAACGAGAUCUUAACCUGCUAAUUAGCGGUAAAUACACUAUAUUCUUAAGUGAAAUUAGAAUAUAGAUAAAUUGUGCUAAUUUUGAUUAAAAUAUUAGAAUGUUUUUUUUAAUAAAAACGUUCUUUUCCCUUUUUUUCUUAAUUAUGCAUAUUUAUUCUUUUUCUUUUUUCGCAUAAGAAUGUAUUUGCUUAAU